GCGGCCAGUUUUUAUUGAUGAAGGAAGUCAGAGUGCCCGGAGAAAACAAUCAAGCCUCUAAAGGAAAACUGACAAUUCUAGUCAACUAAGUGAAAUCCACAUGAGCAGGUUUCAAAACUCAAAACCUCAGUGGUGACUGGUUAGUGAUAACAGAAGUAACUACUUACCGUAUAGCAGGGUGCAAAUAUUUGCUUAUUUUUGCAGAUAGAACAAAAUACCAAAAAUAAAUUCUGCCAAUUUAAAACGGCACAGGCAAAGAUAUUGUUUAAAGUUUUC
rnacentral:lncRNA from 1 species